GUGAAUCAUCAAAUUUUUGAACGCAAAUUGCACUCUUCGGUUUUCCGGGAGAGUAUGCCUGUUUGAGGGUCAGCGUAAAAAAAAUCGACAUUUUUGCUUUUUUAUGGUGACUUUCGUCGGAUAUGUGUUAUCGUAGAGCUCGGUUUAAGCGUCUUAAAAUUUUUUUUUACGAUGCUAUGAACGUUUCUAAGAUCUAUUUCUUUACACGUUUAAGGUAUCGUGUUUUACUAGAUUUGACCAUCAUAGCGAAU
rnacentral:misc_RNA from 1 species